rnacentral:rRNA from 1 species
CCUACGGGUGGCAGCAGUGGGGGAUAUUGCACAAUGGGGGAAACCCUGAUGCAGCGACGCCGCGUGAGUGAAGAAGUAAUUCGUUACGUAAAGCUCUAUCAGCAGGGAAGAAACACUGACCUUACGGUCAGCAGACGGUACCUGAGUAAGAAGCCCCGGCUAACUACGUGCCAGCAGCCGCGGUAAUACGUAGGGGGCAAGCGUUAUCCGGAUUUACUGGGUGUAAAGGGAGCGUAGACGGUGCGCCAAGUCUGUAGUGAAAUGCCGCAGCUUAACUGCGGAACUGCUUUUGAAACUGGCGAACUAGAGUGCGGGAGGGGUAAGCGGAAUUCCUAGUGUAGCGGUGAAAUGCGUAGAUAUUAGGAGGAACACCGGUGGCGAAGGCGGCUUACUGGACCGUAACUGACGUUGAGGCUCGAAAGCGUGGGGAGCAAACAGGAUUAGAUACCCGAGUAGUC